GAUGAACGCUAGCUAUAGGCUUAACACAUGCAAGUCGAGGGGCAGCACAGUGUAGCAAUACAUGGGUGGCGACCGGCGCACGGGUGCGUAACGCGUAUCCAACCUUCCCGUUACUCAGGGAUAGCCUUCCGAAAGGGAGAUUAAUACCUGAUGGUAUUCAAAUUUCGCAUGUUAUUUGAAUUAAAGAUUUAUCGGUAACGGAUGGGGAUGCGUGACAUUAGGUAGAUGGCGGGGUAACGGCCCACCAUGCCUACGAUGUCUAGGGGUUCUGAGAGGAAGGUCCCCCCACACUGGAACUGAGACACGGUCCAGACUCCUACGGGAGGCAGCAGUGAGGAAUAUUGGUCAAUGGUCGGAAGACUGAACCAGCCAAGUAGCGUGAAGGAUGAAGGUUCUAUGGAUUGUAAACUUCUUUUAUACGGGAGCAAUAAGUCUCACGUGUGGGAUGAUGAGAGUACCUUACGAAUAAGCAUCGGCUAACUCCGUGCCAGCAGCCGCGG
rnacentral:rRNA from 1 species